AGGCUGUACCUGUGGUCUGCCACAAGUGUCUCUCUUCAUAUUCAGUUCUUACUUCUGUUGCGCUUGCAGUUUAAUCUUUCAGAUACUGAGUUCUACUGCCAGAAAAUGAUCCAUUCAGAAACCCGUAGAAAGAUCGGCGAUAAGACCUUCAAGCUCCAUCUUAUGAAUGUGCUUUACCUUCAAUAUGAAGUCCUUUGUCAUUUCUGAUAAAGAAAUAUGAAAACCAGCUCCGAGAGAAGAUCCCAUGCUGUCUAAAGGAAGCUACCCAGGAAGAAAAAUGAGAAUAAUUAAAGCCCUAAAUCUGUACAAGAAACAUUCACAGCUGAGACUCUCGGGCCAAGAACGGAGAUAAUGCUAAUGAUUUUGUUUUAUAGCCUCAACAUGCCUCACAUCUGGAGGUGAUCCAAAGCCCUCAGCAGGUUGUCACGUUGAUGGAAGGGCCCCUGCUGAGAUGCAGCUGCUUCUGGGGAGAGCCGCAUCUGGAGAACAGCUGCCUAUCAAUCCCUGCACCAGGAGGCCAGCGAGGCAGAGACUCUGCAAGGGCACCCUGUCCACCUGGAGCCUCCCCCAACCCCCACCUCCAGAGACUCAGACCGGCAAGGGCUGGUGGUUCGCAUUUGUUAACUAAUUGAAAUACAAUAAAAGCUUCACUUUCUGUAAACUUUGGGGGAAAGAGACAGAUCCCUACAGUCCAGCUUCCCAGCUCACAGAAUGGCUGCCUACUCAUUUAAACACCAGCUUUUGUUUAACUACUCCCAGGGACAAAGUUCCCAAAUGUAUCUGCAUUGCCAAACUCUCUUCUCCAGUUAACUGUAUGUUCACCCGUCUUACAUCAUAAGUUGUGUCCAUCAACGUGAAAAGCAUAACAGUAUGUCUAUGGGCUUUCCUAACAGACAGACUUCCAAAGCAUCCCAUGUACAGCAGUGU